CAAGCCCUAUGACUGACAAAAAAAAAAGAGAAAGAUACAGAGAAGAUUAGCCUGGCCUCUGUACAAGGAUGACACACAACGCAUUCAAUUGUC
rnacentral:snRNA from 1 species